rnacentral:rRNA from 1 species
AGUGAACGCUGGCGGUAGGCCUAACACAUGCAAGUCGAACGGCAGCACAGUAAGAGCUUGCUCUUACGGGUGGCGAGUGGCGGACGGGUGAGGAAUACAUCGGAAUCUACUUUUUCGUGGGGGAUAACGUAGGGAAACUUACGCUAAUACCGCAUACGACCUACGGGUGAAAGCAGGGGAUCUUCGGACCUUGCGCGAUUGAAUGAGCCGAUGUCGGAUUAGCUAGUUGGCGGGGUAAAGGCCCACCAAGGCGACGAUCCGUAGCUGGUCUGAGAGGAUGAUCAGCCCCACUGGAACUGAGACACGGUCCAGACUCCUACGGGAGGCAGCAGUGGGGAAUAUUGGACAAAGGGCGCAAGCCUGAUCCAGCCAUACCGCGUGGGUGAAGAAGGCCUUCGGGUUGUAAAGCCCUUUUGUUGGGAAAGAAAAGCAGCAGGUUAAUACCCCGCUGUUCUGACGGUACCCAAAGAAUAAGCACCGGCUAACUUCGUG